AUACUUACCUGGAUGGGGUCUAUGGGUUAUCAAUGAGGCCCAUGGCCUAGAGCAGUGGCUUCCAUUGCACUUAGGAGGGGUGCUGGUCUAAGGUCUCCCCAAUGGGGAGAGCCUACAUCAUAAUUUGUGAUAGUGGGGGCCUGCGUUCGCGCGGCCCCUUC